rnacentral:rRNA from 1 species
GGACUACCGGGGUAUCUAAUCCUGUUUGCUCCCCACGCUUUCGUGCAUGAGCGUCAGUGUUAUCCCAGGGGGCUGCCUUCGCCAUCGGUGUUCCUCCGCAUCUCUACGCAUUUCACUGCUACACGCGGAAUUCCACCCCCCUCUGACACACUCUAGCCCGGUAGUUAAAAGUGCCGUUCCCAGGUUAAGCCCGGGGAUUUCACACCUUUCUUUCCGAACCGCCUGCGCACGCUUUACGCCCAGUAAUUCCGAUUAACGCUUGCACCCUACGUAUUACCGCGGCUGCUGGCAC